CAGUGGGCGGGGCACAAGCGGGGUAGGGAGAGGCCUCCCCAAAAUGCGCGGUGAACCUGCGUCAGUCUGCACGCCUUAGAGAGGAUCCUCUCGCGACCCCCAGGGGAGGAGGCAGUCUGUUCUGAGGCUCACUAGCUCGUGGACUUGCUGCUUUUCCCAUCCUUCCCCACAGCCUAAGGGCCAGUGUGGAGCACCGCCCCGAGAGGGGCCAUCAGGACAGCUCUGCUUUCACUUGCACCUUGCCGCCCUGGCCGCCGACUUGGAGGGGAGGAAGCGGCGGGUGCUCCUGCCGUUGUCAUCGCCUCGGGCUCCCCAGGCCGACCCCCGCGGCAGAUGGAUCUGCUAUGCUCCUGGCCUACAGAGUAACAGCUCUAUGAAGAAGGUGUCCUGUGGUGCAUAGAAGUUCAAGACUCUUUACUCUCCAGAUCCUGGUUCUCCUUUAUGGGAUCCCCAGCUGUUGGUGUUCAGUGGGACCAGUGGAGCAUGCCCAUCCUCCACAAUCAGCUGGAGUCUCAGCCUUCCAGAGUGUUCUAGCUGUCCCUGUUUGUCCAGCCUGCUAAUCACCAGACCCCAAUGUAAUGUGGACUCAUGCUCUUGGAGCAGAUCUCCAGAGGCAGGUGUGCAGCACUCUUGAGUUCCUACCCCUCUCCCAGGUUCACCCCUCUUUCCCCUGCUUGUGGGCUGGUGUGUGGGGAGGGCUUGGGUCCUAAUCAAUCGCAGCUCUGCCACUUUACCUUUUUCUCUGUGGUCUACUCUUCUCCAGGAGUAGGUGGUCUGUUCUGCAGUCUUCAGCUCAGGAUUAGUUGUAUUUGCUGUAUUUUCUUUUAUGUAUUUUUGGGAGGAGAUUUUCACCUUGCCUUCCUACUCUGCCAUCUUUUUAAAAAUUAUGUGGUUACUUUAUUUUAGUUUGGCUUUUUUCUUUAAAUAUUUCACAUUUUAAAAAUAUUUGAUUAAAAUGCAAAAGAACAGUUGUCCUUCAAUCAAAACUCAAACUUGAACUGCCUUAUGGUAAGACACUGUGUUAAUUUCCUAUUGCUGCUAUAACAAAGCACCAUUAAUUUAGUGACUUAAUACAAAUUUAUUACCUAAUAUUUCUAGAUGUCAGAAAUCUAGAAUGGUCUGACUGGAUGAAAAUCAAGGUGUUGGCAGCUGAGUGCAUUCCUUUUUUGGAGGAUCUCAGGAAGAAUCUGUUUGCUUGCCUUUUCCAGCUUCUAAAGGCCACCUACAUUCCUUGGCUCAUGGUCUUUCCUCCAGUAACAGUAUCACUCUGACCUCUGCUUUGUCAACAUUUCUCCUUCUCGGAUUCUGACUCUCCUGCCUCACUCUUUCACUUUUAAGGGCCCCUGUAAUUACACUGAAAUCACCUAGAUGAUGAUUCAGGAUAAUCUCCCCUCUCAAGAUCCUUAAUUUAAUCAUAACUACAAAGUCUCUUUUGCCAUAUAAAGUAAUAUAGUCACAGAUUUCAGGAAUUAGGACAUGUCCAUUUUUGGGAAGCCGUUAUUCUGCCUGCCAUAGAUUCUAUUCCUGAAAUUACUGAUGAUGAAACAAAAAAUGCAUUAAAUGACAGCAAAGGGAUGGAAAAGGAUUCUUAUUUCACUGCCCUGUAAACAGACCUCGGCCAAAUGCUGACAGCAUCUGAAGACAAACCCUUUGGCUAUUUGUUUCCUUAGUAUUGGGCAAAUUAAAAAAUCGAACAGUUUCUGAGUAUCUUCCAGAUAUUCAGUGAUAUUAUAUAUACUAUAUAUAUUUAUAGAUGAUAUCAACCCAUCUAUUCAAACAAGGCAACAUGUUCCUACAACUGAUUAAACUUAGGAAGUGCAUAUGUACAAACAUAUGCACACAGACACACAGCUGUCCUGAGUAGCCAAAAUAGCUGACAAAAGGUAUUAAGACUCCUGUGUUUCACUCAUAGGCAAACCUUACAACUCACACUCAGAUCCCUCCACUUGACUAUAGUUCUAAUAAGCCUAGUUAUCUUAUUUCCAAUCCUUGGCUGACUUGGAGUAGAAAAUUAGAAGGCCAAGAAGGAAAGCUCUAGGCAGGUAAACUGACAGAACUAAGACUUGGAGAAACAUAUCUCAGUCAGUAAUGUGCCUUGUUUAUAUGAUAUAGUCAGGUGAAAUAAAAUUAUACCAAAUUUGUGCAUUCAAGAGAAGAAAUGAAGAUGGGAAGUAAGAGGUGUUUAAAGUAGAAUCUAUCAAUUCUCAAACCUUUGGCCAAUCACAAAUCUCUCUGGACUUUUACUUCUUCACAUAAAAAACUGACACACUUAGGUGAUUCCGUGAUUUCAGGUGACAAUAGCUUGUCACCAGGAAGAUAAUUUGAAGUGCUAUGUAUUGUUUUUAAAGUUAUAUUUAUUCUGUAGAAACUAUUACUAUGAAUCUAACACCUUACCAGCACUUACAUACAUCAGUUGCCUGGGACAAUUAAGAAUGAGGCAGGCAGAGCAAUGUGCUUCGAUGAUGUCAAAUUCAUCACUUUUUCACAGCCUGAACAGUAACUAAUAUUUAUGAUCCUUUAAUCUAACCAGCAAUUAAUGAACAGCUACUAUGUUCCAGGCACCACCAUGUUAUGUGCUAAGUCUUCAUGGAAAAUUAAUUUACUUUCAUGUUUCAGAAGACAGGUGGAGAGCAGUAACUUAAUUAAAACUUAAAGUAUGUGAAUAUUUGAUCCAGAAAUUCUUCCCAAAAGCUGUCCAACAGAAACUGUCAUGGAAGUGCUCAAAGAUACCUGUUCAAAGAUACUGAUGCAUUGCUUGCAAUAGUAAAAUACUGGAUAUCCAUCAGUAGAAUGACAGAGACCUGUAUACACCAACAUGAAGUGAUGCCCAACAUAUAGUACUAGAUGACUAAAGAAAGUUGUAAAACAUUAUGUUUUUCCUUGUUCAUGUACAGAUAUAAGUAUAUGCAUAAAAUAUCUCAAGGAUAUACAACAAAAUAUUGAGGGAUAGGAUUAUAGGGAUUCUUUUUUUCUACAUUUUUUAGUGUUCCCUUAAAAAUUAUAAACAUCAGAGGAAAAACAACAAAGCUAAAACUGAAAGAAUAAUGCAAAAUAAAAAGCAAAGAAUUUUAGCAAUAUUUUCAUGAGGAAGUACUGAAACUUUAUUUAAAACAACACCUUUUCCAAGAAUUGGGAAUAGAUCAGUUUCAUCUGCAGUUUUUUGGCCCCGCAGUUAGAAGCUGUGAACUUUCACUCAGUUACCCCUCUCUUCAUCCUGGUUGGUUUUCAGCUUUCAAUAAAGCUUUUCACCUGAGCUUGCUCUUUAAGAGCACUGGAUUCUGAACUCAGGAUAAUAGUGAGUACAGGCAUGCCAGUUUGUUUACCAUGAGUCUCAGAGGAAAUCAUGUGCAUCUGUUUACUUUUCCUUGGAACCUAGAAGGUCACCUCUAAAAAUAAUUUUGCUCAGUGUCCAAGCUUCUGUGACAGAGGUACAUGCCUCACAUGCUCUCCACAGUUAGUGCCCUCUGCCAGGGAUAUCUAGUUCCCCAAAGGACUCAGACUAGAGAAAAAGGAGAAAGCAGCCACCAGCUAAGCUCUCCAGCUACAGAUAUCAUUUAAUAAUGGAUACAAAAGAAGCCCUUUAAAAAAUGGUCCAUGUCUUUUCUCAUGGCUGUCACUCUAGUCUAGGGAUACUGAACUUAUAAAUGUUUAUUGGCUGUAUUUCUCCUUUUGUGAAUUUCCAAGUCCUAAUACUAAGAGAAUUUCACAACCAGAGCCCAUGCUGUGGUUACUGACUUUGCAAUAGACACAUCUGGGGUACCCAACCACCUUUACCUCUUCUGGAAGGGCCCUGAAGCUCUUAUUGAAUGGGAAGGCCUAAGCAACUAUGCUUACAUAUGUGGAAUAUUCUCCAUUUACCUAUGACCUCCACCCCAUUCCUCCCUUUUUGAAUCCCAUUGCCCCAUGCUGGGCUGGGACCAUAUUGUGAAAGAUCUUGAAAGCCAGAAUAUGGAUUCUGAACAGAGGAGUAAGCAGAUGAGAGCUCUGCUUUAAGAUUAACCUGGCGUUAGUAUAAGUGGGCAAAGUGAGGAGAAAAGAUCAAUUAGAAGUCUAGUGUCCAAGUCAGAAAUAAUGAAAACCUGACAUGGGCAGAAGAUAAUAGAAAGGUGGUAACUGAAGAGGUAGAAUCUGUAGAACUUUAUAGCUGAAUGGAUCCAGGUACAAAGGAUUUCCACUUGUUCCAGAAGUUUCCAACACUUGUGCUAGGAAAUUGGUGGUGUCAUUAUGGAGGAGAUGUCCUCUCUUGGGCUCUGAACUCAUCCUCUUCUACCUCUCCAGGGACUUCACACCAACAACUAUUUUGUCAUCUAUCUUCAAUUGUUCCCUUUCAUUGAUUCUUUUUCAUUUUGGUCUAUUCAAGAAUCUGCCAUAUUUUAAAAACAAAACAAACAAAAACAAACCUCUCCCCUUCAGAGGUGGUGAGAAAUGUAGGCUAUGAACAUCUUCAUCUUAAAUGUAGUGUCAAGAGAUGCUAUCUAUGAUUAAUGGAAUGAAAAAUGGAGCUUCCAAAGGUUUCAAAGGUGGCCAG